rnacentral:lncRNA from 1 species
UCAGCCCAAAAUCAAAACCAGAAUCUAAAAAAAUCCCCAAACAACAACGACCUCCUCAAAUCACAAGCCCACCAGGCAACGAAAAAGCCUCAAAGCGGAGGGCACUCGGGAGGGGGCCGGUGCGGUGCGGCGUCACUGCCCGGCCUGAUCUCUCGUGCACCUUUGGGCUACACCGCGCUCUGCCACCACCGGCUGAGGCACCACGCACGCCUGCGCUGGCCGGGACCCCCCGGUGACCCCGGCGCGACUGCGCCCGGCCCGGCCGGCAGGUGCGCGGCGACAGCCGGCUUCGAGGCCCACCGUUGUUUGUGGCAUGUAAUUCAAAGAAAAGGACAAUAAUGGAUAUUACAAAAAACUAACAGUUAUUCCCUUCACUUCUACAAUGUCCAGACAAACCUUACUGAUGAAAAUCGGCACUUCUUAUUAAAAUUAGGGAUUUUAAAGGUUAAGUUAUUGAAGAUUGUUGAAAUACAAGGAAAUCGAGAGACAGCUUACCAGGGUAAGGCAUUAGAAAGCACUUAAAG